GAUGAACGCUGGCGGCGUGCUUAACACAUGCAAGUCGAACGAUGAAGCCGGAGCUUGCUCUGGUGAAUUAGUGGCGAACGGGUGAGUAACACGUGAGUAACCUGCCCUUGACUCUGGGAUAACUGCUAGAAAUGGUAGCUAAUACCGGAUACGACCCUCGGCGGCAUCGCCAGGGGGUGGAAAGAAUUUCGGUCAAGGAUGGACUCGCGGCCUAUCAGCUAGUUGGUGAGGUAAUGGCUCACCAAGGCGACGACGGGUAGCCGGCCUGAGAGGGUGACCGGCCACACUGGGACUGAGACACGGCCCAGACUCCUACGGGAGGCAGCAGUGGGGAAUAUUGCACAAUGGGCGCAAGCCUGAUGCAGCAACGCCGCGUGAGGGAUGACGGCCUUCGGGUUGUAGACCUCUUUUAGUAGGGAAGAAGCGAAAGUGACGGUACCUGCAGAAAAAGCACCGGCUAACUACGUGCCAGCAGCCGCCGUAA
rnacentral:rRNA from 1 species